rnacentral:rRNA from 1 species
CUUGGUCAUUUAGAGGAAGUAAAAGUCGUAACAAGGUCUCCGUUGGUGAACCAGCGGAGGGAUCAUUACCGAGUUUACAACUCCCAAACCCAAUGUGAACGUUACCAAACUGUUGCCUCGGCGGGAUCUUCUGCCCCGGGUGCGUCGCAGCCCCGGACCAAGGCGCCCGCCGGAGGAAUCAACCAAAACUCUUAUUGUAUACCCCCUCGCGGGUUUUUUUUAUAAUCUGAGCCUUCUCGGCGCCUCUCGUAGGCGUUUCGAAAAUGAAUCAAAACUUUCAACAACGGAUCUCUUGGUUCUGGCAUCGAUGAAGAACGCAGCGAAAUGCGAUAAGUAAUGUGAAUUGCAGAAUUCAGUGAAUCAUCGAAUCUUUGAACGCACAUUGCGCCCGCCAGUAUUCUGGCGGGCAUGCCUGUCCGAGCGUCAUUUCAACCCUCGAACCCCUCCGGGGGGUCGGCGUUGGGGAUCGACCUUCCUUCACGGGGGCCGUCUCCGAAAUACAGUGGCGGUCUCGCCGCAGCCUCUCCUGCGCAGUAGUUUGCACACUCGCAUCGGGAGCGCGGCGCGUCCACAGCCGUUAAACACCCAACUUUCUGAAAUGUUGACCUCGGAUCAGGUAGGAAUACCCGCUGAACUUAAGCAUAUCAAUAAGCGGAGGA